rnacentral:lncRNA from 1 species
ACAACUUGCCAUGCCAAAAGAAAAGAAGAACGAUCUUGUAUGGAUUUAGGUUUUUUGCUUGACCAAGAAGCAACCUAUCUCUAAUGCAAAGCAAUUCACUUGAUCUUUGAUCAAGAUGAAUUUGAUUUGGAUCAAAGAAGUUUAAGCCCCUCAUAUGUCAAGGCUAACCACCAAUCAUUAACUCAUUGAUCAAAAAGAAAAAA